rnacentral:rRNA from 1 species
GACGAACGCUGGCGGCGUGCUUAACACAUGCAAGUCGAACGGAAAGGCCCUGCUUUUGUGGGGUGCUCGAGUGGCGAACGGGUGAGUAACACGUGAGUAACCUGCCCUUGACUUUGGGAUAACUUCAGGAAACUGGGGCUAAUACCGGAUAGGAGCUCCUGCUGCAUGGUGGGGGUUGGAAAGUUUCGGCGGUUGGGGAUGGACUCGCGGCUUAUCAGCUUGUUGGUGGGGUAGUGGCUUACCAAGGCUUUGACGGGUAGCCGGCCUGAGAGGGUGACCGGCCACAUUGGGACUGAGAGACGGCCCAGACUCCUACGGGAGGCAGCAGUGGGGAAUAUUGCACAAUGGGCGGAAGCCUGAUGCAGCAACGCCGCGUGCGGGAUGACGGCCUUCGGGUUGUAAACCGCUUUCGCCUGUGACGAAGCGCGAGUGACGGUAAUGGGUAAAGAAGCACCGGCUAACUACGUG